GACGAACGCUAGCGGCGUGCCUAAUGUAUGCAAGUCGAGCGGGGUAAGAGACUUGUCUCUUAUUCAGCGGCAAACGGUUGAGUAACACGUAGGCAACCUGCCCCAGAGACGGGGAUAGCCCGCCGAAAGGCGGAUUAAUACCGGAUGUGGCCGGAGGGGACAUCCCCUCUGUGCUAAAGGGAGAAAUCCGCUCUGGGGAUGGGCCUGCGGCCUAUCAGCUAGUUGGUGAGGUAACGGCNCACCAAGGCGACGACGGGUAGCUGGUCUGAGAGGAUGGUCAGCCAGACAGGGACUGAGACACGGCCCUGACUCCUUUGGGGGCAGCAAUGAGGGAUAUUGCACAAUGGGCGAAAGCCUGAUGCAGCGACGCCGCGUGGGUGACGAAGUCCUCGGG
rnacentral:rRNA from 1 species